UACGGAGGGUGCAAGCGUUGUCCGGAAUCACUGGGCGUAAAGGGCGCGUAGGCGGCUCGGUAAGUAGGGGGUGAAAUCCUGCGGCUUAACCGCAGGGCUGCCUUCUAAACUGUCGAGCUUGAGCACGGUAGAGGCAGAUGGAAUUCCCGGUGUAGCGGUGGAAUGCGUAGAGAUCGGGAAGAACAUCAGUGGCGAAGGCGGUCUGCUGGGCCGUUGCUGACGCUGAGGCGCGACAGCGUGGGGAGCAAAC
rnacentral:rRNA from 1 species